rnacentral:lncRNA from 1 species
GAAAUGAGUAGAUUUGAGCAUGAAGGUUCAAAUUUUUCAGAAAGAAAUCAAGUUAAAAAUGAUAUAUGAAGGGUCAGGUAGAGUUGUGGCAGGGAUAGGUGGGUCCCACCCCCUUCGGCUCGAUCAAAUUUAGGUUAUGGCAGGUUCCCCUGAAGCCAAACAGUCAAAUCAACAAAAAAGGUUCUAUACGAUUAAGCAGAAAACACCUGAAAUCCUAAAAAACUGCUGGAAUAUAAGAUUUUUAGUUAAGCCAUUGGUGACAUCCCCAGCGUACCAUCGGGCGAAGUUUAGUGAUGUAAGACGUUGAAAACUAC